CCCGGCAAGAUGGCGGCCCCCAUGGAGCUCAGCUGCUGGGGAGGAGGCUGGGGGCUCCCUUCAGUCCACAGCGAGUCCCUGGUGGUGCUGGCUUAUGCCAAAUUUUCUGGCGCACCCUUGAAAGUCAAUAUUAUAGAUAACACCUGGAGAGGUUCAAGAGGUGAUGUACCAAUUUUGACAACUGAAGACAGUAUUGUUUCUAAGCCUGCAAAAAUUCUAAACUUUUUAAGAAAACAGAAAUACAAUGCUGAUUGUGAGCUCUCAGCAAAACAAGGGGCAGAUACGCUGGCUUACAUUGCUCUCCUGGAAGAGAAGCUGCUCCCUGCGGUGCUUCACACCUUCUGGGUUGAGAAUGAGAAUUACUUUACUGUGACAAAGCCGUGGUUUGCCUCUCGAAUCCCUUUUCCUCUCAAUUUAAUCCUGCCCGGAAGGAUGUCUAGGGGAGCCCUGAACAGGAUUCUUUUGACAAGGGGAGAACCUCCCCUCUACCACGUCCAAGAAGUGGAGGCGCAGAUAUACAGAGAUGCCAAGGAGUGCCUAAAUCUCCUAUCAAACAGAUUGGGAACAUCUCAGUUUUUCUUUGGUGACACGCCUUCUACCUUGGACGCCUAUGUGUUCGGUUUCCUUGCACCUCUUUAUAAAGUGUGUUUUCCCAGAGUUCACUUACAAAAGCAUCUGAAACAGCUCUCCAACCUGUGCCGCCUAUGUGAUGACAUCCUGGACAGCUACUUCAGGCACGGCCCUGGAGAUUCUGGUUCAGAGCUUCAAGACCUGGUGGUUUUCCCGUCUCGUCUGCUCCCUUGUUCUUACUUACAUGGAGAAAGGGGCAUUUGACUCCAGCCAUCCUCUAGACUUUACACCUUAUGUGUAUCUGUCUGUAAGUAUUGCCCCCUGAAGUGAGUCAUUUCCUUCUAAAAGGUUAAACCACGCAUGUUGAGUCCCUGCUGAAAAGUAGUGUCUAUCCUGGUGUGAGUGGGUGAUCACUGUAAAUGACUCUUACCUGCUGCUUCCAGCAUUUCCCUUCAUGAACAGAAAUCAGUAGCAGAUUGACUUUGGUGAGGUACACUCCCAUGAUUCUACUACUUGAAAACUGAUUGCACCAAACUGGAGAUAGAGGAUCUCUCCAGCUGGACAAGAAAUGGUAGAUGCAAACCUGCAGAAACUCACUCAGCUUGUAAAUAAGGAGGCCAA